rnacentral:rRNA from 1 species
GCGGAGGAAAAGAAACUAACAAGGAUUCCCCUAGUAGCGGCGAGCGAAGCGGGAAGAGCUCAAAUUUGUAAUCUGGCGCUUUCAGCGUCCGAGUUGUAAUCUCUAGAAAUGUUUUCCGCGUUGGACCGCACACAAGUCUGUUGGAAUACAGCGGCACAGUGGUGAGACCCCCGUUCAUGGUGCGGAUGCCCAAUGCUUUGUGAUACAUUUUCGAAGAGUCGAGUUGUUUGGGAAUGCAGCUCAAAAUGGGAGGUAAAUUCCUUCUAAAGCUAAAUACUGGCGAGAGACCGAUAGCGAACAAGUACCGUGAGGGAAAGAUGAAAAGAACUUUGAAAAG